rnacentral:rRNA from 1 species
UACGUAGGGGGCAAGCGUUGUCCGGAUUCAUUGGGCGUAAAGAGCUCGUAGGCGGUUCGGUAAGUCGGGUGUGAAAACUCUGGGCUCAACCCGGAGAGGCCACUCGAUACUGCCGUGACUUGAGUCUGGUAGGGGAGCACGGAAUUCCUGGUGUAGCGGUGAAAUGCACAGAUAUCAGGAGGAACACCGGUGGCGAAGGCGGUGCUCUGGGCCAGUACUGACGCUGAGGAGCGAAAGCGUGGGGAGCGAACAGG